rnacentral:lncRNA from 1 species
GUUGUAUCCAAGUUUAAGUUACGUCAUAUCUAAAGGAACAUAUCAGUCUCCUAUGCCAGGAGGUAUACUGGCCGACAAUUAUUAAAUGGAGGAGAAUCAUUUAAAUAAACUGGCAUCGGAAAAAUGAUGAAAG